UACGAAGGGUGCAAGCGUUAAUCGGAAUUACUGGGCGUAAAGCGUGCGUAGGCGGUUUCUUAAGUCUGCUGUGAAAGCCCCGGGCUCAACCUGGGAAUGGCGGUGGAUACUGAGAAGCUGGAGUACGGUAGAGGAAGGUGGAAUUCCCGGUGUAGCGGUGAAAUGCGUAGAGAUCGGGAGGAACAUCAGUGGCGAAGGCGGCCUUCUGGACCAGUACUGACGCUGAGGCACGAAAGCGUGGGGAGCAAACGGG
rnacentral:rRNA from 1 species